rnacentral:rRNA from 1 species
UACGUAGGGACCAAGCGUUGUCCGGAAUCAUUGGGCGUAAAGAGCUCGUAGGCGGCUUGUCGCGUCGACCGUGAAAACUUGGGGCUCAACCCCAAGCCUGCGGUCGAUACGGGCAGGCUAGAGUUCGGUAGGGGAGACUGGAAUUCCCGGUGUAGCGGUGAAAUGCGCAGAUAUCGGGAGGAACACCGGUGGCGAAGGCGGUUCUCUGGGCCUUACCUGACGCUGAGGAGCGAAAGCGUGGGGAGCGAACAGG